rnacentral:tRNA from 1 species
GGUGCUGUAGCUCAAGUGGUAGAGCAUUAGCUUUGAGCUAAAGAAAUCAAGGACAGCACCC